rnacentral:lncRNA from 1 species
UGCGUUUGGAACUCCCCCUGCUGCCGGCUCUUUCCUUUUAGUAACAAAAUGGCACAGGUUUGUGGCAGGGGCAAACACAUAAAGCCCCCUGGGGACAAAUUCUCUACUCCUCCCUUAGCCCUCAGCUGCAGCACAACGGAGGCGAUAAUGGGCCGCUUAAGCAGGUCCCAGGUACUGGGAAUCUCACCUUCCAGGUACCUCCCCCGCAGAUCCGUGGGCAGGGGGCGGAGGAGGCAGGAUGGGGGACAGCGCACGGACCCUCAGGCACACGCUCGGAUUGAGCCGCAGAAGGACACGUAAAGGGGGCGUUCCAAUUUGGAUAGGAAGGCCAGGGUAUAAAAGGGCAGCACGGUAGCACCAUCGAGGUGUUGCUGUUUCGUGCUUCUCGCUGUGUGGCUGCAGUUUGGUCGGUGAUGCAGAGAACAGCUGAGCUGCCUGCUGCCCCUUCACCCUUCUGGUCGCUGCUGGCGCUGCUGCGGCGGGAGCCCGGCAUGGAGUGGCUGCCGUGUGGUCCGGAUGGCUGCACCGGAUCGUGUGGUACCAGCGGACUGGAGGCUGGCAGCGGGGAAGGAGCUGCAGAUAAUCUCAGCCAGGUUCCUAAGAAGCAUUCCUUGGGCCCUUGUCCCCUGAAGGCUCUGCUGUUACUGGAGGACUCAAGAGAGAGACACUUAUGGCAAGCCUACCAUGAAGGCCUGAAAAACUUUCUUUCCUUUAGAGAAGGCAUGGCUCUGUCUGUUAUCUGGCCAAUUCCAGUUGAACAAAUAAGAAUGUUUCUGGUCGACAUGGAGUCCCAGGACCUGCCUCCCAUGAAAAUAAUAAUGUAUAUGGAAGGACUGUCCUUCAUCUCCAGAAUGGUAGAUCAUCCUGAUCCCCUUCCAGAUCCUCUUGUCUGUCACAUGAUGUCAAGGCUGAAACAGAGGACUAGCCGUUCAGAUGAUGAAUACUCUCCUGUAACAAUUGAAGUGUUAAGAUCUCUCCUGGGAACUCUGGAGUCUGUGUGUAGCUCUCCUUAUGAGUGUAUGCUGUUCCGUGCCAUUUUUACUGUAGCUUUUUUUGGUGUACUCCAUAUAGAAGAGAUGGUGGCAAAUCACCAAAAUACAACACAGCCAGACCUCCUGUACUUGAGUGACCUCCAGCUGACAGAAGGACAUGCAACCCUUUUUCUGCAUCCAUCUCAAGCGGGCCAACAGAGGUGUUCGAUCCAACUGAGACGAUGUAAAGAGAUGUGGGUGUGUCCUGUUGAAGCUCUCUGUAUCUACGUGGCAGCACGGCCACAAGGAGAUGGUCCUCUCUUUGUGCACUCAAAUAGUAUGGCUGUGACAAAGAGGGAGUUCCUCACUGUCUUCCGCUGUGGUCUUAGGUUUGCUGGACUUCCUCCACACCAGUAUGCAGUGCAUUCCUUCUGGCUGGGGAACUCUAACAGGAGAAUCUCGUGGAGAUUCUAUUAAUCUCAUGUGAUUAAUAGAAUGGUAAGGUGAUGGUGAAGAUUCUGUGAAAGACAUACUUCUGUCUAUCUGUUGAACUUUCAUAGUAGAAGGUAUCUUCUGCAAUGCACAAAUUUUAUACUUUAUACAGGCUAAAUUUUUAGUGCUCUGAAAAUCUGAAUCUAGAGAGAAGGGGAGGAAAAAGUGGAAGGUGACAUCGCACCUGUGGUGGUUUUGAAAAUGAAGGGUCAUGGGUUUAAAACUGGGACUUGUGG